rnacentral:rRNA from 1 species
AUUGAACGCUGGCGGCAGGCCUAACACAUGCAAGUCGAACGAGCGGCGGACGGGUGAGUAAUGUCUGGGAAACUGCCUGAUGGAGGGGGAUAACUAAUGGAAACGGUAGCUAAUACCGCAUACCAUCAGAUGUGCCCAGAUGGGAUUAACUUGUUGGUGGGGUAACUGCUCACCAAGGCGAGUAUCCCUAGCUGGUCUGAGAGGAUGACCAGCCAUACUGGAACGGAGACACGGUCCAGACUCCGACUGUGGGCAUCAGUGGGGAAGAGUGCACAAUGGGCGCAAGCCUGAUGCAGCAAUGCCGCGUGUGUGAAGAAGGCCUUCGGGUUGUAAAGUACUUUCAGCGGGGAGGCGUUACCCGCAGAAGAAGCACCGGCUAACUCCGUGCCAGCAGCCGCGGUAAUUC